UCCCAUGUAUGUUCUUAGGUGAAGAGUUU
rnacentral:piRNA from 1 species